rnacentral:rRNA from 1 species
GAAACUACAAAGGAAGUUAGACGGGGCCCGGCACAAGCGGUGGAGCAUGUGGUUAAUUCGAAGCAACGACGAAGAACCUUACCAGGCCUUGACAUGCAGAGAACUUUCCAGAGAUGGAUUGGUGCCUUCGGGAACUCUGACACAGGUGCUGCAUGGCUGUCGUCAGCUCGUGUCGUGAGAUGUUGGGUUAAGUCCCGCAACGAGCGCAACCCUUGCCUUUAGUUGCCAGCAGUUCGGCUGGGCACUCUAAAGGGGCUGCCGGUGUUAAACCGGAGGAAGGUGGGGAUGACGUCAAGUCCUCAUGGCCUUUAUGACCAGGGCUACACACGUACUACAAUGGCCGAUACAAAGGGCAGCGACACUGCGAGGUGAAGCCAAUCCCGUAAAAUCGGUCUCAGUCCGGAUUGGAGUCUGCAACUCGACUCCAUGAAGUUGGAAUCGCUAGUAAUCGUGGAUCAGCAUGCCACGGUGAAUACGUUCCCGGGCCUU